GAUCAGCUGGCGNACGGGUGAGUAAUGCCUAGGAAUCUGCCUGGUAGUGGGGGACAACNUUUCGAAAGNAACGCUAAUACCGCAUACGUCCUACGGGAGAAAGCAGGGGACCUUCGGGCCUUGCGCUAUCAGAUGAGCCUAGGUCGGAUUAGCUAGUUGGUGGGGUAAUGGCUCACCAAGGCGACGAUCCGUAACUGGUCUGAGAGGAUGAUCAGUCACACUGGAACUGAGGACACGGUCCAGACUCCUACGGGAGGCAGCAGUGGGGAAUAUUGGACAAUGGG
rnacentral:rRNA from 1 species